GGCAUCAAGACACAUAAACCUGGACAGGCUGGUGGUGUGGGGAACAUUGGAGGAGCCAGAAAGGGAUGCUGUCUGGGAUGACAUGUACGAUGAAGAAUUCGAAGAAUUCCUAAUUUAUCUCUGGGACCAGUGUUUUUUCUGGGAUCAACUGGCACAAAGCAACGACCGACAAGGAGAUACCAGUAAUUGCGACUGACGAGUCAACGCUCCUGCCUCCACCUUUUAAUAAUAAAAAAAAAAAUAAAAAAACCUUCAUGAUUAUGGAA